UGCCCCUGGUUUGUACUUUCAUUGAAUAAAUAUUUAUGGAAGUCCUAGUAUAUCAUUGAGCAAUGCUAUCCAUAGCAAUUUACCUAUAAAUUACUAUCUCCCUCCUAUUUUAGCAGUGAAAUACUGGCUGCAGAAGUUUUGGAGUCAUAAGUGAAAAAUGACAUCUGAAGUUUUCUUUCAAACCUUGGUUGCUUACAGCUUCUGGAUUUUUCACAUGCCUGGACAUGCCGCACAAGCCUUUCAUCAGCAAGCAGGCCAGACGGCUCCUCUGCUCUGAAUGACUUGCUUUGCUAAACCAGGAGUCCUUCAGACUUGCUGUUAGAAGGGUAGAUGAGGACACUAGGAUCGUCGGUAAAGGAGAAUCAAUCACUGGGGCCAAGUUUCCAACAGCACAGCGAAGCUACACAUGGAUUGUAUAUCUUGUUUCAUUUGUGCAGAAAAAGAGCUCUGUUUGCUUUGGCUGAGACUUUUCAGUAAUAAAUGCUUCUACAUCUAAAGCGACAGCAAUUUUGAAGACUGACUUUCUAAAAUUAUAUUCAGGUGAGUUAAACUUUAGAUGUCAUACCUUACAGCUAAAAGCAAAUACAUUUGAUGCAAUCAUGUUAAGCAAAAUAU
rnacentral:lncRNA from 1 species